rnacentral:rRNA from 1 species
AACAAACGCUGGCGGCGUGUCUUAAGCAUGCAAGUUGAGCGGCAAGGAGGAGAGAUCCUCCCUAGAGCGGCGGACUGGUGAGUAACGCGUGGGUAAUCUAUCGUAGGCAUGGGGAUAGUCACUAGAAAUAGUGGGUAAUACCGAAUACGUUCCAUGAGGGGAGUACUUAUGGAAGAAAGGGUGCUAUGGCACUGGCCUUAGGUGAGCUCGCGUCCCAUUAGCUAGUUGGUGAGGUAAAGGCCCACCAAGGCGAUGAUGGGUAGCCGGCCUGAGAGGGUGUACGGCCACACUGGGACUGAGAUACGGCCCAGACUCCUACGGGAGGCAGCAGCUAAGAAUAUUCCGCAAUGGACGAAAGUCUGACGGAGCGACGCCGCGUGGAUGAAGAAGGCCGAAAGGUUGUAAAGUUCUUUUGCUAGGGGAGAAUAAGUGAGGAGGGAAUGCCCUCAUGAUGACAAGGACUAGCGAAUAAGCCCCGGCCAACUACGUGCCAGCAGCCG